rnacentral:rRNA from 1 species
AUACGUAGGGUGCAAGCGUUAAUCGGAAUUACUGGGCGUAAAGCGUGCGCAGGCGGUUUUGUAAGACAGAGGUGAAAUCCCCGGGCUCAACCUGGGGACUGCCUUUGUGACUGCCAGGCUAGAGUACGGCAGAGGGGGAUGGAAUUCCGCGUGGAGCAGUGCAAUGCGUAGAUAUGCGGAGGAACACCGAUGGCGAAGGCAAUCCCCUGGGCCUGUACUGACGCUCAUGCACGAAAGCGUGGGGAGCAAACAGGAUUAGAUACCCUGGUAGUCCACGCCCUAAACGAUGUCAACUGGUUGUUGGGUCUUCAUUGACUCAGUAACGAAGCUAACGCGUGAAGUUGACCGCCUGGGGAGUACGGCCGCAAGGUUGAAACUUAAAGGAAUUGACGGGG